GGAAUCUACAUCAUGUUUUCGAAAACGUAAGAAAUCAAAGUAUCUUGGUCCUUUCUUAUGAGUUGAUCCCGAAGGAAAUUGAUUAGAAAAUUUCUGGUAAAUCGUUGAUUCAUCUGGUGUUUAACUAUAAUGAUUCAUUUACAAGUUUACUAGAUUGAAAUUUUAUGAUGUUCAAAAAAUUAUAGAUCCCAUGUCACAUC
rnacentral:lncRNA from 1 species